rnacentral:rRNA from 1 species
UACGUAGGUGACCAGCGUUGUCCGGAUUUACUGGGCGUAAAGAGCGCGCAGGCGGUCGUUCAAGUCGAGUGUGAAAGCCCCCGGCUCAACUGGGGAGGGUCACUCGACACUGAUCGACUUGAAGGCAGGAGAGGGAAGCGGAAUUCCCGGUGUAGUGGUGAAAUGCGUAGAUAUCGGGAGGAACACCAGUGGCGAAGGCGGCUUCCUGGCCUGUUCUUGACGCUGAGGCGCGAAAGCUAGGGGAGCAAACGGG